CCACCGCCCCGCGCCGGGCCUCCUUCCGGCGGGCGCGCCCCGGACGUGACCUCGCGGGCGCGCGCCGGAGCCGCCCUUGGGAGGCGCCCGCGCCCCCCGCACAGCUCUUCCCACACUUGGAAUUGAUUUCUGUCCGUGGACCCAAUCUUGUCUGACUCUCUUGCUGGGCUGAGUUCCACGAGGUGGGGGCUUGUCUAUAUCUCGUUCACCGCAGAGAAGGUGCUGGAUGAAUACCUGUUGAAUGAAUGAAUGCAUGUCUACUGGGGGUGGUCUGGGCUGGGGUCGGUGCUCGCUGCAGAGGAGGGAGCGAGCAGAGCAGAUCAGGGUGUCUCCUGGCCCCAGUGGCUUUCUUUUUCUCUCUGUUCCACUUCCAGGAGAAUGUCUGUGGAAAGGAAGCCCAAAGCCUGGUCUGGGUCUGGCUGGGAAGAGGCGCGCGGGGAGGGGAGGGGAGAGGAGGGGAGUGGGGGCGAGCAGGCCUGGGGAGGAAGUCUGCAGCCCCAGGCUGCCCUGCUGAGGGCGGCGUCUGUGUUUGCACCUUUGGAAUGUGGCUGACUCACUCUGGAGGGAGCCCUGUGCAGCCACCGCUGCCGCCUUGGAUCCGACAUCUGGAGGCUGAAUUCCAGGAGGAGAGAGACAGAUUCCUGCAAGCAGAUGCCAGCUUUGAAGGUCAAACUGAGCGAUGGAGCUGCUGUGAGAGGAGGCGAGAGGGUCCAACACUCCCCUCCAGGAUUCCCCCCCAGGAUUCUGGGAGAGAGCAGCUCUACGUGUCCAUCUGGCACGACACCGCCUUCUGCACAUGAGGAAACCAAGGCUCGGAGGGGAGUCAAGUUCACACAGCUGGAAGUGGUGGAGCUGGGAUUCUGCAGCUCCGGGCCACCAGGACCCCGUGAUGCCUACUAAGGUGUUUCUGUUCAUUUUUAGCAGAGCCUUGCCGAACCCUGUCCACAGUAAAUGUUGCUGACUCUUGAAACAAGGGCCAUGCAAACUUCAAGCCCCUGAAGCGCUCUGUGAUCUGUUAAGGUGAGCUCCGGUCACCUGCUCUUUGGAGAUCCUGUGGCCCCAGGGGACAUAACUUGGGGGGUUACAGGAGGUUCCUACCUCCGCAGAAUCGUCAUCCACAGAUCCGAGUGGGACAGGCAUUUCCCCUGCUUCCUCUGGAUGCUGUUCUCAGCCGCACCACCUUGUGGGGCAGCAAGCCGAAACAUUACUGGCCCUGUGCUUCAUCUACAGCCGCUUUCCUGGGGUCCCUGGGCUGGCUUUCAUCUCUUGCCUUCUUGGAUUGGCACAUAGACAUGUGUUCACCUGCUAGUGAACUCUGCUUCUUCCACCUUCCCUCAGGUCAUGGUGGGCAAGCGUUUGAGUCCUGCCAUCAGAUAAGCCCAGGUUCAAGUCAGCUUUGUCACCCUGGCUUUGUGGCUUCGGGCAAGUUUCUGAACUUCUCUGAGCUUCCGUUUGCUCAUCUAUAAUGGGGGUCACAAUUAUAUACCUACUGAGACACUGGUACCGUGGUUGUGGGAUUGACUAAGAGAUGGGAGAUGGGGUGCUCACACAGUGCCCAGCACCUCGCACACACUUGGGAGGCACAGUCAGUCCUCACUGCAAAGGCAAGCUUGCAGCGGGCCCGGGGAGGGAGUGGGGAGCUUUGUGCGUCUCCCUGCCCCUGGAGCAGCGGGAGGCUCCCAUGACUCAGUUCUGGCCAAGGAGGGGGAAGGCCAGGCCUCUGAGAUCGGGGCCCCAGGGGACCUCUGCGUCCUCCUCCCUCUCUGCCCUCUGCCCGUCUCCCCACCCAGUGCUUCCGGCAAAACUGGGCAGGGCCCAAUGCAGUCUCUGUUGGUCCCCUGGGCACGGCCCACCCCUUCCCCAGAUCUGCAGCAUGGACCUGCUGCCCCAAGGGCUUGGGUGCUGUCGGUGAUGGUGGAGCCCCCUAAGUGGGUGCCACGGCCAUCGGCCUGAGGCAGGAGAGGGGAGGACCUCCUCUGGCUGCCGGAGCGGAGCCGCGGGCUCCUGCCAGGGAAACCCUCUCUCCUGGCCGCUGCUGUUCAGCCUUUCCCAGCCCUGGCCCUCUCCUCCUGCUUCUCACAUUUCAGCUUCUGAGUUACUGGCACCGCUGCUGCUGCUGCCGCUGCUGCUCAGGCCACUGCACCAGACAGACGUUAACUCCCCGUGUGCUGGUGGCGGCAGCAGCAGAGCCGGAAAUGGGCUCGAGGUCCAGAGGUGCUGGGGGAGGAGAGAGCGGUCCUGAAACCAGUCCCUUUACUCCAGCCGGUUCCCCUCUGGAGAUCUUACCUCCCUCCUUCCUCCCUGUCUGCCCAGACUUGAAGCUGGAAUCUUCCCGCCCUCCAGUUGUUCCUUGGUUUGGGCACCGACAGUCGACCACAGCAUGUGGGUUCUCUAUCACCGUGUCCUUGACCUUGCCCUUUCACGAAGACCGGUUUUCUCCCUCCACAUCCUUCACCGCACCCAGGCUGGCUCCCCUCUUGUAUCCGACCUUACCUGGCCAGGGCUGGGCUGCCAGUACCAGGUGAAGUCUGGAGUCCUGGGGCUGGCCUGGAAGCUGUCUUGCGGGACAGCAGCACAGGCAGUCGUGAGGACUCUGAAGGCCACCAGCACUGGCACUGACCACCAGGAUGAUCUUGGUCACUAGGACUCGGGUGCUGCAAUGAGAAUGAGACAGCAAAUGCAAGUAAGGCUGCCAGAGCAGCAUCUGGCCCACGGUGGGCACAGACCACUCGUGCUCACGUACACAUGUGUCUCCCCACACACUGGGCUCUGAGCCCACCCCGCCCCAGGGACAGCUACUCCUGUUUUCCUGUCUGCCCCCUCCUUCACAGCCCACCAGGUCUGCUUUUUUAUCAGAGCAGCCUCUCUCCCUCCCCUGACCUGGCCAGUCCCAGCCUGUCCUUUUCCAGCCUCAAAUGGGAUUUAACAUCCUGCCUUCUCUCCCUCACCUCUGUUCACUCCUCUGGAGGAGAGGCGACUGCCCGAGAAGGAGGAGGAUGACACUGGACAUCCUCUCCCAGCUCAAGAGCACCCCCAGUUGUCCUCUUCCUAUAUCCCUCUGCUUCCUGCCUUUCUCCUGAACCCCAAAUGCUCCCUCUCAGUUUCUUGGGCACCUCUGCUGACACUUGGCCCUCUCUGGCUGCACCCCCUUGGUCCCUGGGCUGACUUACUCUCCUUUUCUAUUGACCAGAGGCCCUGAGUUUCUGUCCUCCCCUUCCCCCUGCACACCCUGGUAGGAAGGGCCCAGGCUGGGUGUCAGGUCCCACCUGUACCCCAUGCCUCGAGUUCCUGGUCUGCCCAGUGAGAUGGUUAUAACUGUCCCAUCUGCUUACAGAGAAUCAACUGAGGAAGCGGUCAGACAGCCAUUUCUGUCUAAAACCAAACCAGUCCAGCCGGGUGGCCAUACAUUGAAUUUUCAUAAAGGGAAUGCGCCUAAUUGAAGCACAGUACCUGGUUCCUCCUUGUUGCCAUGUUGAAGAGCAGAGACGUUUCCCUGGGGGAAAAGUCCCCGACUUUUGGGAGGUGAAAACAUUCCUAUGGAGUGUGGAGGAGGAGGGUCUGAAAGCUGAGGAGACCCGGGACAGGGCAGGCCGAUGGAGGGAGGGGAGAGGUGAGGGCAGGAGCCCACCCAGGGGCCUGGGAACAUGGGGAGCAGGGCCAGAGAGAGGGCAUGGGGGCACCCCCAGGUGGACUCCUGACCCCUUUGCAAGGGCUUGCUUAUGAACAAAGUGAAUCAGAUCGGGCUGGUCGAAGGAAGUGGGCAUCGAGAGGUCAGGGCCUUCGGGACCCUGGUGCCCCAGGGAAAUGUAGGGCCUUGUGGGUGUGGGGAGGCUGGCGGUCAGCACCUCCCCAGGGUGCCUGCCUUGGGUUCCCCAAAUGUGUUCACGCGCUGCCUGCCCACAAGGCAUGGUGUGUGCUGGGCGCCCUCUAGUGGUUGGGGGACCCCAGCCUUGUUGGCCCAGAGAUCUCCCUGUGGCUAGGGCAGGAAAGGGGGCUAGGGCACUGGUGGAUAUUGGGAUUUGCUCCAAACCCCAAUAGGGGCAUCUGACCCCCAAUCUGCCUUCCUUGGAGCAUUCAAGAUCCUUUCCCACCUGGGACUUUUUGCUUCUAUAGGGCCUCAUCCCUGUUCCAACAGCUGGCAUCCACUAUCGCCCCCGGCCCCCCACCCCUCCAUGCAGGCUGGGGUUCCCCAUGUGCACCACAGCAUGCUGGGGCCUGAAAGGCCAUCUGGUCCCUCUCCCCACUCUUUGCAUAUUUGUGUACAGGAAGAAGCCUCAAAUUCGGGUUGGGGCCCUCGAUUCUGGUUUAGGUUCCAUCUCCAGUUCUCUGUGUGUCCUUAGGGAAGUCCCUUAACUCUCUUUGUACAUCCUUCAUGUUCUCUCCAUCUGUGGUGGCAGAAUUCUCCUAGAACCUCCAGUGAUCUUUGCCCUUGUCCACUCCCCUCCCACUGAGCGUGGGCAGAACCUGUGAAUGUGGUAUCACAUCGUGGUUAGGUUGUGUUAUACGGCACAUACAGAGAAUUUAUCCAGGUGGGCCUGCCCUAAUCACACCAGCCCUUUAAAAAUAGAGAGUUUUCUCUGGCUGCUUGUGGAAGAGGAAAUGAGAGAGAUUUGAAGCAGGAGAAGGAUCAACGUAUGGGACACCCUCUGUUGCUCAGAUGGAGGGGGCCACAGGGCAGAGACCUGAGAAUGGCCUCUAGUCACUCAGAGCAGUCCCCAGCUGACAGCCAGCAAGACAAUGGGGACCUCAGUCCUACAGCUGUGAGGAACUGAAUUCUGCUGACAACCAGUGAGCUUGGAAGAGGAUCCAAGCCCCAGAUGAGAUUGCAGCGCUGGCCAACCCCUGGAUUUCAGCUGGCGAGCAGAGAACCCAGCCACACCGUGCUGGCCCUCUGACCUCCUGAACUGUGCAGUAAUCAACCGUGCUGUUUUAAGGCAAUAAAUUUGUGGAAAUUUGUUACGCAGCAACAGGAAACGAAUACAUCAUCUGUCCCAAAAGAACAGUAUUCUAGAUACACGUGUACACAAAAGUUUAAAAAUGAGAAAAAUUGAUUCCCCCUCCACACGGGUGCUACAUAGAGUCAAGCCUGCAGCAGCCGCCUGUGCUGCCAGUCCUCCCUCCUGGCCACAGGUUAAAUCCCCCUUUUUGGGGCUCACAUGACUCACACUAAUUUCCAACCAGCCUGGGAUGAGGGCAGGUUUGUUCUGAGAAAGGUUGUGCUGAUGGCACCAUCAGAGCAACCAGGUCCCAUUUUGGCCGAAGAAAGGAGCCCUGAAACCUUCAGAUCUAGGAUCUGGGGGAUCCCAUGAUUUCUGGGGCUCUCUGGAUUUCUGGCCAUCUUUAGGGUCAAUAAAGCUGUAUUUAUUUUGCUGAGGAAGAUUCGCCCUGAGCUAACAUCUGU